rnacentral:miRNA from 1 species
AGAGGAGAGCCUGUGGGCCAGA